AGGUCAAGCGCGAGAGUAAGAACUACACAAGGAGUUAGAGUACCUUAGCAAAACUUUGCUAUCAGGUUGAGCUGUGAUGGGCGAUGAAGUAUUGCUGAGUGGAGUUUUUUGUCGAACUUAAAGUAGGCUCAGAAAGGAUACAUGUCUUCAUACAUGUAUCUCAGUUAUGCAUUCCGCUGUAAACACUGAUUAUUUCAGUUACGCCUUCCGUUGCAAACUCUGAUAAUGUUUUAGCCAAGCCCCUAACGAUGCCUUUUUCCUUUUAAGGAAUAUUUCACGCGUA